UCGUCAAACCGCGAAUGGCUCAUUAUAACAGCUAUAAUUUACUUGAUCUUGACACAAUCCUACUUGGAUAACUGUGGUAAUUCUAGAGCUAAUACAUGCAUUAAAGCUCUGACCUCACGGGAAGAGUGCAUUUAUUAGAACAAAACCAAGCGGCUUCGGCUGUUUCUGGUUGACUCAUAGUAACUGAGCUGAUCGCAUGGUCUUGCACCGGCGACGUGUCUUUCAAGUAUCUGCCGUAUCAACUUUCGAUGGUAGUGUAUCUGACUACCAUGGUGAUCACGCGUAACGGAGAAUAAGGGUUCGGCUCCGGAGAGUUCGCCUGAGAAAUCGCGAACACAUCUAAGGAAGGCAGCAGGCGCGAAAAUUACCCACUCUCAGCACGAGGAGGUAGUGACGAAAAAUAACGAGACCGUUCUCUUAUGAGGCCGGUCAUCGGAAUGGGUACAAUUUAAACCCUUUAACGAGUAUCUAUGAGAGGGCAAGUCUGGUGCCAGCAGCCGCGGUAAUUCCAGCUCUCAAAGUG
rnacentral:rRNA from 1 species